UACGUAGGGUGCGAGCGUUGCCCGGAUUUAUUGGGCGUAAAGGGCGCGUAGGCGGCCACGCACGUCCGUUGUGAAAUCGCCCGGCUCAACUGGGCGGGGUCAGCGGAUACGGUGUGGCUCGAGCAAGCUAGGGGGCAAUGGAAUUCCCGGUGUAGUGGUGGAAUGCGUAGAUAUCGGAAGGAACACCAGUGGCGAAGGCGGCUACCUGGGCGAAUACUGACACUGAGGCACGAAAGCGUGGGGAGCAAACAGG
rnacentral:rRNA from 1 species